UACAGAGGUCUCAAGCGUUGUUCGGAUUCAUUGGGCGUAAAGGGUGCGUAGGCGGCGCGGUAAGUCGGGUGUGAAAUCUCGGGGCUUAACUCGGAACGGUCAAGUGAUACUGUCGUGCUAGAGUACAGAAGGGGCAACUGGAAUUCUCGGUGUAGCGGUGAAAUGCGUAGAUAUCGAGAGGAACACCUGCGGCGAAGGCGGGUUGCUGGGCUGAUACUGACGCUGAGGCGCGAAAGCUAGGGGAGCGAACGGG
rnacentral:rRNA from 1 species